UUAAGCGACUAAGCGUACACGGUGGAUGCCCUGGCAGUCAGAGGCGAUGAAGGACGUGCUAAUCUGCGAUAAGCGUCGGUAAGGUGAUAUGAACCGUUAUAACCGGCGAUUUCCGAAUGGGGAAACCCAGUGUGAUUCGUCACACUAUCAUUAACUGAAUCCAUAGGUUAAUGAGGCGAACCGGGGGAACUGAAACAUCUAAGUACCCCGAGGAAAAGAAAUCAACCGAGAUUCCCCCAGUAGCGGCGAGCGAACGGGGAGCAGCCCAGAGCCUGAAUCAGUGUGUGUGUUAGUGGAAGCGUCUGGAAAGGCGCGCGAUACAGGGUGACAGCCCCGUACACAAAAAUGCACAUACUGUGAGCUCGAUGAGUAGGGCGGGACACGUGGUAUCCUGUCUGAAUAUGGGGGGACCAUCCUCCAAGGCUAAAUACUCCUGACUGACCGAUAGUGAACCAGUACCGUGAGGGAAAGGCGAAAAGAACCCCGGCGAGGGGAGUGAAAAAGAACCUGAAACCGUGUACGUACAAGCAGUGGGAGCCUCUUAAUGGGGUGACUGCGUACCUUUUGUAUAAUGGGUCAGCGACUUAUAUUCUGUAGCAAGGUUAACCGAAUAGGGGAGCCGAAGGGAAACCGAGUCUUAACUGGGCGUUAAGUUGCAGGGUAUAGACCCGAAACCCGGUGAUCUAGCCAUGGGCAGGUUGAAGGUUGGGUAACACUAACUGGAGGACCGAACCGACUAAUGUUGAAAAAUUAGCGGAUGACUUGUGGCUGGGGGUGAAAGGCCAAUCAAACCGGGAGAUAGCUGGUUCUCCCCGAAAGCUAUUUAGGUAGCGCCUCGUGAACUCAUCUCCGGGGGUAGAGCACUGUUUCGGCAAGGGGGUCAUCCCGACUUACCAACCCGAUGCAAACUGCGAAUACCGGAGAAUGUUAUCACGGGAGACACACGGCGGGUGCUAACGUCCGUCGUGAAGAGGGAAACAACCCAGACCGCCAGCUAAGGUCCCAAAGUCAUGGUUAAGUGGGAAACGAUGUGGGAAGGCCCAGACAGCCAGGAUGUUGGCUUAGAAGCAGCCAUCAUUUAAAGAAAGCGUAAUAGCUCACUGGUCGAGUCGGCCUGCGCGGAAGAUGUAACGGGGCUAAACCAUGCACCGAAGCUGCGGCAGCGACGCUUAUGCGUUGUUGGGUAGGGGAGCGUUCUGUAAGCCUGCGAAGGUGUACUGUGAGGUAUGCUGGAGGUAUCAGAAGUGCGAAUGCUGACAUAAGUAACGAUAAAGCGGGUGAAAAGCCCGCUCGCCGGAAGACCAAGGGUUCCUGUCCAACGUUAAUCGGGGCAGGGUGAGUCGACCCCUAAGGCGAGGCCGAAAGGCGUAGUCGAUGGGAAACAGGUUAAUAUUCCUGUACUUGGUGUUACUGCGAAGGGGGGACGGAGAAGGCUAUGUUGGCCGGGCGACGGUUGUCCCGGUUUAAGCGUGUAGGCUGGUUUUCCAGGCAAAUCCGGAAAAUCAAGGCUGAGGCGUGAUGACGAGGCACUACGGUGCUGAAGCAACAAAUGCCCUGCUUCCAGGAAAAGCCUCUAAGCAUCAGGUAACAUCAAAUCGUACCCCAAACCGACACAGGUGGUCAGGUAGAGAAUACCAAGGCGCUUGAGAGAACUCGGGUGAAGGAACUAGGCAAAAUGGUGCCGUAACUUCGGGAGAAGGCACGCUGAUACGUAGGUGAAGCCACUUGCUGAUGGAGCUGAAAUCAGUCGAAGAUACCAGCUGGCUGCAACUGUUUAUUAAAAACACAGCACUGUGCAAACACGAAAGUGGACGUAUACGGUGUGACGCCUGCCCGGUGCCGGAAGGUUAAUUGAUGGGGUUAGCGGUAACGCGAAGCUCUUGAUCGAAGCCCCGGUAAACGGCGGCCGUAACUAUAACGGUCCUAAGGUAGCGAAAUUCCUUGUCGGGUAAGUUCCGACCUGCACGAAUGGCGUAAUGAUGGCCAGGCUGUCUCCACCCGAGACUCAGUGAAAUUGAACUCGCUGUGAAGAUGCAGUGUACCCGCGGCAAGACGGAAAGACCCCGUGAACCUUUACUAUAGCUUGACACUGAACAUUGAGCCUUGAUGUGUAGGAUAGGUGGGAGGCUUUGAAGUGUGGACGCCAGUCUGCAUGGAGCCGACCUUGAAAUACCACCCUUUAAUGUUUGAUGUUCUAACGUUGGCCCCUAAUCGGGGUUGCGGACAGUGUCUGGUGGGUAGUUUGACUGGGGCGGUCUCCUCCUAAAGAGUAACGGAGGAGCACGAAGGUUGGCUAAUCCUGGUCGGACAUCAGGAGGUUAGUGCAAUGGCAUAAGCCAGCUUGACUGCGAGCGUGACGGCGCGAGCAGGUGCGAAAGCAGGUCAUAGUGAUCCGGUGGUUCUGAAUGGAAGGGCCAUCGCUCAACGGAUAAAAGGUACUCCGGGGAUAACAGGCUGAUACCGCCCAAGAGUUCAUAUCGACGGCGGUGUUUGGCACCUCGAUGUCGGCUCAUCACAUCCUGGGGCUGAAGUAGGUCCCAAGGGUAUGGCUGUUCGCCAUUUAAAGUGGUACGCGAGCUGGGUUUAGAACGUCGUGAGACAGUUCGGUCCCUAUCUGCCGUGGGCGCUGGAGAACUGAGGGGGGCUGCUCCUAGUACGAGAGGACCGGAGUGGACGCAUCACUGGUGUUCGGGUUGUCAUGCCAAUGGCACUGCCCGGUAGCUAAAUGCGGAAGAGAUAAGUGCUGAAAGCAUCUAAGCACGAAACUUGCCCCGAGAUGAGUUCUCCCUGACUCCCUGAGAGUCCUGAAGGAACGUUGAAGACGACGACGUUGAUAGGCCGGGUGUGUAAGCGCAGCGAUGCGUUGAGCUAACCGGUACUAAUGAACCGUGAGGCUUAACCUU
rnacentral:rRNA from 1 species